GAUGAACGCUGGCGGCGUGCCUAAUACAUGCGAGUCGAGCGAACAGACGAGGAGCUUGCUCCUCUGACGUUAGCGGCGGACGGGUGAGUAACACGUGGAUAACCUACCUAUAAGACUGGGAUAACUUCGGGAAACCGGAGCUAAUACCGGAUAAUAUAUUGAACCGCAUGGUUCAAUAGUGAAAGACGGUUUUGCUGUCACUUAUAGAUGGAUCCGCGCCGCAUUAGCUAGUUGGUAAGGUAACGGCUUACCAAGGCGACGAUGCGUAGCCGACCUGAGAGGGUGGUCGGCCACACUGGAACUGAGACACGGUCCAGACGCCUACGGGAGGCAGCAGUAGAGAAUCUUCCGCAAUGGGCGAAAGCCUGACGGAGCAACGCCGCGUGAGUGAUGAAGGUCUUCGGAUCGUAAAACUCUGUUAUUAGGGAAGAACAAAUGUGUAAGUAACUAUGCACGUCUUGACGGUACCUAAUCAGAAAGCCACGGCUAACUACGUG
rnacentral:rRNA from 1 species